rnacentral:lncRNA from 1 species
GAAAACAUCAUCAAAACAUAAAUAAAAACCAUUCACUAAGUAUGAAUACACCUAAGUUUAAAAUAAAAACCAUAUUCAUUGGGCAAUGUAACCGAAUGAUGGCUCCUAUAUCAUGAAUUACAGCUAUGUAUUCCAAAACUUGUAGCUCAUCUGCUCAGUUAAUUAUAUAAAACUCUAAUGUUCUCUCGAGUAGUACGCACGAUCCGAGAGGUCCUAAUUUGUUCACAUGCCCCUUGAGUAGGAGGAUCUAGAGUCCCUGGCAAGUGUUCUGCACCUAUCCCUGCAAAUCCAAUAAUAAAAAUCAAACACG